CUGAGCUAAAGUCGGAUGCUCAGCCCACUGGGUCCCCAGGUGCCCUGGUUUGUCUGGUUUUUGAAGGGAGCUGCUAGGGAGGAAAGACGCCUCUCAGUGUCGCCAUCGGCCGGGCCUCAUGACUUCCUGGGGCAGGACCGGGAGAGACGUGGGUCACAUCUCCCGUGGGAAGAGGCACUAGCGUCCACCUGAAAACCUCGGACUACAGACGCCUGAGUCCUAGCGCCGGAGCGUGUGCACAGUCAGUCGGCCAGGACUCUGCCAACUCAGCUGAAGGGACUGUGGAGACGGUCAGUGACGUCACAGGACGCUUCUCUGUGGUUGAUUGAAGACCCCCCCCACCCCUCACGGGCACUCUCCCGUAAGGAGAGAUCUUCAGAGACGAGAGAGCAAAGCUUCUCAUAGGAACUACAUAUUGUUCGGGCUGGGAGAGCCAACGAGGUGGAUCUGAGCUCACACCCUGGAAAUGCCUUCAGUUACAUUUGGAGUAUCCUUCUGGAAUUUUCUACGCCUGGACACACAGAGAUAAGGC